UGCAGACGUGGAAGCUCACAGAGGUGGAGUCAUCGCCCAGGGUUACACACCUGAUGAGCAGAGAGCUGGGAUUCGAACCCAGGCAGCUGGGGGCUGAGGAGGCCGAGGGAGAAGCAGCUGGUGAUGAAGCCUAGAAACGAAUCAGGUCUGCUUCCUUGCUUGGCAUUCGGUGCCAUUGACAGCAGCCUCCCCUCAGCAAGCAAAACUUGCUCCAAAUUGAGCUGCGAGUUUCUUGCAGGGUGGAGCUGCCCUCGGCUGAGUGGAGCCAGGAGGGUGAAGCAGGAGUGUGAACGGUGUGAAGCACCCAUUACAAAUUUCUGGCCGCCAUCCUAAUUUUAGAGGCUUCAUGUUUCAAUAUGAAAUGCUGUUGUUCGUGCCACAAAAGGAGGAAACAAACAGAAUCGUGCCAGGAGAAACCCCCUCCCCCACCAAGUUUGAUGCUGUAAAAAUGUCUAAUGGGGAAAUCUUUUCAGUGGUAAAUUACCCCACUGCCUUCUUUUCCUCUUAUUUUGCAUCGGAAGCUCUCCUCAGUUCCUACUGGAAGAUGUUCAAGGCUGGGCCAGGAGAAUUCUAGAGACUUUUUCCCCUAAUAGGCACCGUGUUUGUGGAGAAGUCCACUAAGAAUCCCAGACUUGACAUAGCCCUGGCAUUCAGCGGCCGCCUCACUCCCAUGUGGAGUGAAAACCAGGAAGACAGCAGAAGGUGGCAAACCCACUGUCAAGAACCAGAGUAGCAAUUUCUUGCCAUUGUAGUGAUAAAUUGCUACACUGGCUGAACUAAAAAUUGUAAUAAUAAUAACAAUUAACAUUUAUGCAGCAUGUACAAUGCUCCAGUAAAAUAUUCUUUUAAGGUCACAAUGUACCUUUAUCAUGAUGUUGUCAUAAUGUAUCCACAAUAAUAGCAGCACUAGCUAACAUUUAUUGAAUAAUUACUGUGGUUACUUUAUCUGCAUCAUCACAUUAAUCUUUAAAACUUCACAACAAUGCUUUGAGCCUGGUGCUUUUAUUAUUCCCAUUGUACAGUUAAUAAAACAGGUUUACGUAGUUAGUGGCUGAGCUGGGUUGCAGACUCAGGCACGUCUGAAUCCGGAGCUGGGGUUCUUACCCACUCCAGUGACUGCCUCUCAGAAAAGAACAGGGCAAUGUCCAUUCUCCUUUUAUUUUCUUUAAGCACCUGAUCAUUCUAAAAGCAUGUGUUCCUCCGUGUGUGUGAGUUGUGUACACGUGUGUGUGUGUUCCUUUCUUUUCUCGGACUCCAGGCUCAUGACUGCUUAUUUGCAUGGUGUUUUGGUGUCAAAGGAGUGUUGAAUGUGUUCUCCACACACCCAGCUUUAUUCCACUCUAGGAGUUUAACUUCUUCAGCAUUGUUAUGAGGUCCCCGGUGACCUCAGUUUCUCCUCUCCGCGUCAUCCAGGACUUCACCUGAAGCUUGAGCUACACGUAAGACUUCAUCUACCUUGCACAGGGCAAUGGAGAGAGAUGGCAUACCA
rnacentral:lncRNA from 1 species